GCUCUUGUAGAUCAGUGGCAGAUCACCACCGCUCAAUGCUUCGGAUCCGGAUAAUGGGUAUGUAGUGGGGACGUGGGUUCGAACCCCACCGAGGGCA